rnacentral:rRNA from 1 species
UUGAUCCUGGCUCAGGAUGAACGCUGGCGGCGUGCUUAACACAUGCAAGUCGAACGAGCCUUCGGGCUAGUGGCGGACGGGUGAGUAACGCGUGGGAAUCUGCCCUCAGGAGGGGGAUAACGGCCGGAAACGGCCGCUAAUACCCCAUAUGCCGAGAGGUGAAACGAAUUUCGCCUGGGGAUGAGCCCGCGUCUGAUUAGCUAGUUGGUGAGGUAAUGGCCCACCAAGGCUUCGAUCCAGUAGCUGGUCUGAGAGGAUGAUCAGCCACACUGGGACUGAGACACGGCCCAGACUCCUACGGGAGGCAGCAGUGGGGAAUUUUCCGCAAUGGGCGCAAGCCUGACGGAGCAACGCCGCGUGAGGGACGAAGGCCUCUGGGCUGUAAACCUCUUUUCUCAAGGAAGAAGACAUGACGGUACUUGAGGAAUAAGCCACGGCUAAUUCCGUGCCAGCAGCCGCGGUAAUACGGGAGUGGCAAGCGUUAUCCGGAAUUAUUGGGCGUAAAGCGUCCGCAGGCGGCCUUGAAAGUCUGUUGUUAAAGCGUGGAGCUCAACUCCAUUUAAGCAAUGGAAACUACAAGGCUAGAGUGUGGUAGGGGCAGAGGGAAUUCCCGGUGUAGCGGUGAAAUGCGUAGAUAUCGGGAAGAACACCAGUGGCGAAGGCGCUCUGCUGGGCCAUAACUGACGCUCAUGGACGAAAGCCAGGGGAGCGAAAGGGAUUAGAUACCCCUGUAGUCCUGGCCGUAAACGAUGAACACUAGGUGUCGGAAGAAUUAACCCUUUCGGUGUCGUAGCCAACGCGUUAAGUGUUCCGCCUGGGGAGUACGCACGCAAGUGUGAAACUCAAAGGAAUUGACGGGGGCCCGCACAAGCGGUGGAGUAUGUGGUUUAAUUCGAUGCAACGCGAAGAACCUUACCAGGGUUUGACAUCCUGCGAAUCCCUUGGAAACGGGGGAGUGCCUUCGGGAACGCAGUGACAGGUGGUGCAUGGCUGUCGUCAGCUCGUGUCGUGAGAUGUUGGGUUAAGUCCCGCAACGAGCGCAACCCACGUCUUUAGUUGCCAGCAUUCAGUUGGGCACUCUAGAGAGACCGCCGGUGAUAAACCGGAGGAAGGUGUGGAUGACGUCAAGUCAUCAUGCCCCUUACAUCCUGGGCUACACACGUACUACAAUGCUACGGACAAAGGGCAGCAAACUCGCGAGAGCUAGCAAAUCCCAUAAACCGUGGCUCAGUUCAGAUCGUAGGCUGCAACUCGCCUACGUGAAGGAGGAAUCGCUAGUAAUCGCAGGUCAGCAUACUGCGGUGAAUACGUUCCCGGGCCUUGUACACACCGCCCGUCACACCAUGGAAGUUGGCCAUGCCCGAAGUCGUUACUCCAACCCGUAAGGGAGGAGGACGCCGAAGGUGGGGCUGAUGACUGGGGUGAAGUCGUAACAAGGUAGCCGUACCGGAAGGUGCGGCUGGAUCACCUCCU